AUUUCAAUUUCCUUAACAACAAAAGCAGUAGCAACACGAACAACAGUAACAACAACAGCAAUUGCACGCAUACAAAAACUAAAUAAAGUUGUAGCACAAUAGCUCCUACGUCUGACAAUGCUACACGAAACGUAGCUCGGAAUUUAUUGCAUUGGCUGUACAAGGAGCGUUGAAAAGGGGGGACAGCUGCCUGCCUGCUGCUGUGCUGCAGUUAAGGAAGAAAAAACACUCGCUCGCACACAAUGCCAGCAACGACUGGCAGUCAGUCGUGAAUCCAUAGCUAACAGGCGAUGCAACUAAAUACAAAAACCACGUGACAAUGUUUUCAGAACAACAACAGCAACAACAACGUGUAUGGGUCAACAUUUCAAAUGGAUUUGCCGAUAAAAAAAGAAGGUCGUAGCCUUGUCUAUGGUCUAUCGGGUGUUGCAGCAGCCAGCAACUUUCGUAUUUGUCGCAUUUGUCACAAGGCGUAGUGCAAACCGCAUUAGCCUUCAUCAAGCCGAACAAAUGCCGAUGCAAGGCAAAAAAUUAAAAAACAGACACAACGUACAGCAAAUAUUGGAUAACUAGGCGAAUGCGUGAUAUGUUGGCGUUACACAAAGUCAAUAUGCUUUAGGUUCUGCUCAACGCCCGGAAUGAGAGAGUGUGUACUCAAUUGCUGAACCUACAGAACAAUGUAGGAAGCCCGCUCUGUAUUAAAAUGUAGUUGUUUCACUUCUGUUGAAAUUAAAACAGACCAGAUCUUGCAAAAUAAUCGAUCCCAAACAUCUAAUCAAUGCUUAGUGUGCAAAGGAACUGUAUUGCUUUCUAUUCAACUAGUUUGAGUGCAUUUUGUCGACUAUCAUAAUUCUCGUUUGCUAAAAUAUAAAAAUAAAUAUAAAACGUAUACAG